rnacentral:lncRNA from 1 species
CAUUACCAAAAGCUGAAACUAGUCUAGACUAGUCUAUACCGAGCUCUCAUUCUUGCUCGCCUUCCCCUGUUAAGGAAAACAAAACUAAAGGUAUGAGCUAAAAACCCAGUGAGAUUCCGAACACAUAAUCAAACAAUAAGUUCAAAGCAUGAACCGUCAAUAACCAAUAAUUCAAAAAACAUUUACAAUGGGAAGCAAUACUAACACAUUCAUUAAAAUGAUACGUGCUCACAAGGAGCCAUUCAUUCAUUCGUUCAUUCAUUCUCCUUUCAUUCCCUUAUUCCUCCAAUCAUUUGAACAUGCAUUUUGAUAAGUAAAACCCCUCAUUUGCACUGACAUUCUUUCGUUCAUUUCAUUCACCCCCUCCUGGACAUUGGUCAGGCUCCACCAGACUACAAGGUAAUACUCGAAUAUACCAAACGUUCACCCAGGGUCACUAAAUCGCCCGACCAAGUCCGCUUUUGGCUCGAGUAAAUCAGUAACAAAGGGCAGGGCCCAGUUCGGCCAAGAGACUUACAUUCAUGCAGAACUAACAUGUAAUCACUUAAACAUUGAAAAUUUCACAUUUCAUUUAGGUCGAGUGCGAUAAAGUAUACACUCGCCUAGCAAUAUUCAUUUGUAACAAACAUUUAUCAUUUAAUCAAAUAUCCACAACAAAUCAUAAAGUUCAUGGAAACAUAACAAACAAAGAACACUCACCUAUUUACGCAAAAUAACGUCCAAAAUAUCUUUCCGGGUAACACUCUCAAUCACCGAUGAACCCUAAGGUUAAUCAAGAGAAAAUAUUACAGUUCCUCCAGCAAAAGUUAGGUGAAUCGAAGACAAUUCAAAUACUACUAGUACAAAGUAUAAAUAUGAUUUUGGAAGUGAACAGAGUACAUUUAAACCAAAGGACAUGAGUAAAAUAUUUGGAAAACUUAUGCUCACUCUCAAAUCGUUACCUAAUUCUUGAGUGUAAAUUUGGGCAGCACGCCCUUUAUAUUUACCUAUUUUCCAGCCACUUAUGGCUUCAUUAUUUUCCUCAAUCAAUCCCAAAGUCAUACACAAUAUAAAUUCAUCACAAUAGCCGUUCAAUAGGCUCAAAUUCAUUCAAGUACAAGAUUUAGCUAGGAAAAUGACCAGAAAUGAGCUUUAAGCUAAGAAACCAAAAAGGUAGAUUCACCGCUACUUAGCGUAUCGAACAUAACUGAAACUACGUUUAUUGCAUUGAAGUGCAAGUUAUAUCGUUUCGAAGCUAAGACAGAGGGCUAUAACUUUGAUGAAGACUAUGUAGUCCAGUUCUCACCAUAACUAGGUCAAAUUUACCAAAACAACCCCGAUGUUCCAGUUCGAAGCUCACUGUGAAAUUCAACUAGCAGUCUUGAUUCAUUAAAUCAUAUCUCAUCACACACAACUCCUUUUCAGGUAAUUCCAAAGCCAUUUGAAAGCUAAGAUACAAGGCUAUAAUUAUUAAGAAGACAUCAACAACCAAUUCGGUAAUAUUCCUGGUCAAACUAACCACUUACAGAGGCUGAUUAUCAUUUUUGACUGAAACAGGGCAGUAGGGGCAAUUUUGUCAUUUCACAAGCUAUCCUUCUCCGAUUGAGUUGAAAAUUUACAGGCAUACUCUGAACUCAAUUAUCUACAACUUCCAUGUUUUGUGCUAAGGCUAAUUCAGCUCCCAACAUGUUCAAAUUUUCAGACUAAUUUCGGACAGAAAUCUUGACAGAAAAGGAAUACUUGAAGUUCAUUUAAAUUCCACCCAAUCAAACGAAUUUCCAGCCAUUCAAAUCAGUUCCUAGCUAGUUAGAUUCAACUUCCAAUCAUCAGUCAUAAGUUUUACCACAAGAAUCAAGAGUUAGGAAACUGGUUUACCUCAAAUCCGUAAUCAUAACCCUAGCUGGCCGAUUCUCUUGAAGCAUGAAACACAGAAAUUAAUCCAACAAUUCAUCAUAUCACAAGCUUGGUCAUCAAUUCACCAAAAGAAACAAAAUCAGUACAAGUUCAUGAGCCAAACCAACGUCCAGCUUUGGUGACUGAAACGUACUUGAGGAGAUGUAUUCUUGAGCUCCAACUCUCCAACAAAGUUCCCUUGGUUGGUUGCAAGCAAGGUUGGAUGAAUAACCCCAAUGAUUCUCUUUCUUUUUUUUUCCUUCUUUCUUUCUUCUCCUAGCUCACCCGAUGCUGCCCUUCUUCUUCUCCAAGCUCAUGGCAGCUUGUUCUUGGUGUUGGCUUUGUUUGUUUUGUCUUAUGUCCUACUAACUUAAUAGCUAAGUCUAUUAAUAGUAAAGCAAAACAAGAGAUGGGUCAUGGGCUUGAGUAAUUAAUGGGUUUAUGGCUUAGGCUUCUAAUGAAAUUAAAACUUAAAGGCCCAACACUAAAACUCUACUUGAUCCAAUGUAAUUAACCCAUUGGUUUACUAACUUAAUAUCCACUUAAUGCACUAACUUAGUUUAAUUAAAACUUAAGCAUACUAACCCAAGGUACUAAUCACUCGAACCCCCGUACUAAACAUGCAUGCAUGCACAUACAAUCACGAAAAUAUUAAUUGGUUGAAUUUAAUUUAAACUUAAAGGUUUAGUUUUGAAAGUAGGAUUUUAAUGAUUCGAUUAAAGUUUCCAAUUUUGGCAUAUAAAACACUCUUUGAAAAUUAAAACACAUGAUAAAAUACAUUUUUCACACAAUAGCUACUAUAAUUAUCCAUAUUUAAUUUAUUUGAAAAAAUUAGGAAUCCAGGAUCUCAUAUCCAUAAUGCACCUCAAACUUAACAUGUACGCACUUAUACUAGAAAAAAAUGAUUUAAAAUGAUACUCACUUAUAAAAUCUUUGAAAAUUAAAUGAUUAAUUGAUUUAAAGUAAGGAAAAUGCGCGCGGAAAAAUAAAAUAAAAUAAAAUAAAAUAAAACAAGGAGAAUUUUGCGGGUCCUCACAAUUACACUUAAAGAGCCAUCAAAAGUUCAUACAAAAGGUAUACUAGCAUCCACCAAGUCACUACUCUAGAACCUUCAAUCCUUCUCCAAAUUUUGUUAAGGAAAACAACUUAAAGGGGUGAGCGAACACUCAGUGAGGCCAAGAAUAACAUGCUUAAAAGCAACUUUAAACAUGACAUUUCAUUUAAGUACACAAGUAGGAAUUAACACACAUAUAAGGAUAUGGGAGCUCUCGGGAGUUAUUUCCACAUCUCGAUCAAGUUCAGCCACCUGGGGUUGACCCUCCGUCAACCCAAGUAGUAACACGACCGUAGUGCUCCACUUACUUCCUCCACCCACCUAACACCCACUCGGAUCUGGAACCAAACAUGUAUAAAGUGGCGAUACUAUUCGAGUAUGCCUAGCGAGAUCUCUCCAAUAGAUCAAGCUAUAAUAUUUCCCAAGGUUCACCAAACUCCUCGACCAAACCCUUGCCAGCUCGAGUUAUAAGGUUAGCCAAUGGGUUGGGGUGCCCCCCAAAAGUAUAAGUGGUCGAUGAGACAUCGCUCCAAUAGACUUAGAAUUGUUUAUGACUCUGAGUCGGUAUAAGAGGCACCUCCCACCCAAAUAGGGUGUGGUACAUGCUUCCGCUCAGAGAAUCGAUCAUAGCACUGAGUCGGUAUGAGAGGCACCUCCCAUCCGAAUAGGGUGUGGUACACGUUUCCUGUGAGGACCCGGAUUUUAUUUUCUUACUUUUAUUAUUUUAAUGGCUUAAUUAAUUAUUUAAUUCACCCGUUUACUCCGAAUAAUUUAUUUCAUUCAUUUUAAAACCCAUUGUAUGCAAAAAUGUCUCUUUUAUAUUUUUAAAACGUUCUGUUCCCGAAUUUAAUUUUUCUACAGCUCGAUUUGCGAGAAAUAGCAAAUACACGUUUUUUGAGGCAAUAUUCGAUCCGAGAGUGCAAUGAUCUUGGAGAUUUGAGGACUCAUGUUUUCAUUCUUAAUUCAGUCAUUUUAUACGUUAUCUACCCUAGAGUUAGUUAAUUAUAUUUUAGUGGCGUGAAUUACCCUUAAGUUUCACUUUAUCGUGCGCGAAUCGAAAAUUCGCGUAAAUCGAGCCGGAACGGUUAAGUGGAGAUUUAAGAAACUUAUACUGACUACUAAGAGUGAAUAAUUAUAGUGUUAAAGGAAGUACACUGAAGGUUUAGUGCACAAGUAUAACAAACGAGAGAGAAAACGGUGAUACGAUACCGCGCACGAGCACUAUUCUCAGUUAACUUUAAUUUUGGCCACAAAACCCUCAAGCUUCCAAAGGAAGCUUCACAACAAAUUGUGAAGAAAGUUUCUAUCAAAAAUCAUUUGAAUUGGUUGAGCAAAACUUGAAUUUUCGAAAUGUGAAGAAACCUGGAAAUGAGUUCAGACUGUCUAAACAGUACCACUUUGAUCGAACAUAUCUCUUUGUACAAAAGUCAAAAUCGAGUGCUAUUUGUGGCAUUUGAAACUAGACAUUUGUAGCUAUCCAAUGGUAUAAAAUUUACCCUCUAGUUUGAAAUGAGUGAGCUGUAGUGAUUCGGCAAUAUUUCAUGUCCUGUUCUGAUGGUCUAUCAGAGAGAAAGGUAGAAGCUGCAUUUUGUGGCACUAUUUUCUCUCACUUAUGAAUUGAUUUUGAAAAUAAUUUGUUCUGAUGAAAUGUAGCCUUAUGAUUGUAGUUUUCAAUGCCACUAACCAUUCUCAAUUCCAAGUUGUAUUGAGCGAAAUAUGGUUCAAUUUCCAAACUGCGGCAAAGCUGGAAAACCCUUCCUUUUGCUGGCCGACUGGUUUAGUUGUUUGUGAGAUGUUUUAUUUCAAAAUUUUGAUGUCAACCCACUAUCAAUUGCUUAUGAAAUAUUUCUUGGACCUUGGUUUCACAAAUGAAUCAAAAUGAGACUGAUUUCAUGGUGCAAAGUGUUUGAAAAAGGGAAAGAAAACAAGAAGACAGAUUUGCUUUAAGAAUUUCCUAAACUUUGGUAGUUUUGUUAACUACCUUUCCGUACGAAUUUUUACGUAAAAUUUGAUAGAGGAGUAGUCCUCAUAUGGAAGUUGAAUUGUACCAAAUUUGGUGUUAUUCUAAAACCAUUUUGAUACCAAAUGAUGUCCCAAAGUUUACUUUCAAAUCUGGAAAAUUCACUGUUUAGUAGUGGAAAUUUACUGACUUUGAACAGCUAUAUCUUGAUACUCAAGACUCUGAAUUUAGUUCCGGUUGUCGUGUUCGAAACUCUGUUUGGAUCUUUUGUUGUGUUAUGAAUUUCAGAGGCUAGUUUACUUUCGGUGAAUUUUGCCGAAUUUCCAAAGUUUGGCGAAAAACAUGACCGAAACUGUCUUGUAUGGUCAAGUCAGCCACUUUGAGCUGAAAUUUGAAUGUCUUCUGUUUAGAAUCUUAGAAAACUAUUUUCUAGGAACUUUUAGUAUUCUGAACCAAGAUUCCAACGGUAUAAAGUUUUCCAAUUUUAGACCUACUGAGUACAAGUUCUGAUUUUUCUAAAUUUGAUGCGCAAAACUGAAAUUUUCCGACUUGUUGGGAAAUGAGUUUUUGGAGACUCUUCCCUAUCCUUUGAUAUUGAUUGACCAUUUUAAACUUAAUUUCAUGAAGAAAAUCAGUUUCUCUUCUAUUUUUAAACACCACUUUUGAGACUCGAUUUACGUGUAAUUAAGGCUCUUUUUCAUGACAUUUUCUUAGUAUUGUACAAGUGUACAAUCUUUCUUAUUAACAAGGGGUUUAUCAGCGAUAGUGUGUGAUAGCCAAUUACUAUUUGCUCAGGUACUCAAGGGGACCUUCAAGAGGAUCUUGAAGCGGACGCCUAAACGCUUGUUUGAGCACUUACUCCCUUACUUUGAUUGGUGAGUGUCAAGUGCAUGAAUUGUAGAUAAAUGCUUUAAUUGUUAAUUGAGUAUUAUGGAAUUGUUGAGACGAGUGUGUACUUUACUGCACUCGCUCUCUCUUAAGUGAUGCUACAAUUGAAUUGUGCUAUGUGAAUUGAUAUUUGAAUUGUGUGAAAUGAAUUGUUAUGUGAAUUAAGUGAAGUGUUGCUAUUGCAAACCAUAUUUGUGUUGUGAUGUCGAGUGGAGUGAACCUCCUCGACUUAUGUGUAUACUCGUGGGGACACCCUCGUUCUCUCUUUCUUUUAAUUAUGUGAUACUUGUUACUGGAAUAUAUAUGAUCGGUAAUUGUUCAUAAACAUGUCUAACUCGUAAGCCCUGAGCGGAUACAUGUACCACACCAAUCUGGGUGGGAGGUGCCUGUCAUACCGUCUCAGUGCUAUAAUCGAUUCCCUGAGCGAUAGUAUGUAUCACACCAAUUUGGGUGGGAGGUACCUCUCAUGUCGACUCAAAACCCUAAACAAAUAAUCGAUUCUCUGAGCGAUAGCAUGUACCACACCGAUUCAGGUAGGAGGUACCUCUCAUGUCGACUGAGUACCAUAAACAAUUGUAAUCGGUUCUCUGAGUGAUAGUACGUAUCACACCGAUUCGGGUGGGAGGUACCUCUCAUGUCGACUCAGAACCAUAAUCAAAGUAUAAGUCAAUUGGAGCGAUGUCUCAUUGACCACUGAGCGAUUGUAUGUACCACACCGAUUCGGGUAGGAGGUACCUCUCAUGUCGACUCAGAACCAUAAACGUAUAAUCGAUUCCUUGAGCGAUAGCAUGUACCACACCGAUUCGGGUGGGAAGUACCUCUCAUGUCGACUCAGAACCAUAAUCAAAGUAUAAGUCGAUUGGAGCGAUGUCUCAUCGACCACUUAUUUCUCUGAGCGGUAGCAUGUACCACACUGAUUCAGGUGGGAGGUACCUCUCAUGUCGAAUUAGAACCAUAAAUAGAGUAAGUGAAGUUAUACAGAAUUAAAUACCUGCCCGGUUGACAGAAUGUCACCACGUGGAGGUAUUGAAUCGAAUUUGGGCAAAGCAAUUGGAAAUUAGCUCCUGAGAGCUCCUGUAUCCUACUCAAGUGUGUUUAUUUGUUAAUCAGGAAUUACUUGAAUGCUAUAGCUUUAUUUCUCGUACAAGUGUUUGUUACUUGAACUAUGUGUUUUCAUGUUUUCUUGACCUCACUGAGCGUUAGCUCAUCCCAUUAGCUUUGUUUUCCUUAACAGGAGCUCGGAAUGGAAAGAAUUUUGGAGAAGCCGGUUUGACUACUUUUGUUUAGUAUUUUGGAUUGUAUUUGAUUAGCCGACUUCGAGUGAUUGAAAUUUUUGGUGAAAGUGAUGUACUUUUGAGAACUUGUAUUGUAAGAUCUGAAUAUUUAUUUAAGGAAGCAUGAAAACAACUAUAGUAGCAUCCCAGAGGUAAUCAAAAUGAAAACGAGUGAUGACCCGAAAAAAGGAAAAAAAUUAUAAUUAUAAUUAUUUUCUCACCUCCCAACUAUUUGCAUUUCUAUUUAAAUUAUAUUUUAUAACAUUUGCAUUCAUUUAGUGAUUUACUUGUUAAUUGAUAAGUGAGUUUCUCUUGUUUGUUUAUUCUAACUUUCAAGCGAUUAAAUUCUUGAAAAUUGUUGAUUUUGUGACUUAUUGGUGAAUUUGGCCGAAACCCUAGGAGAAUAUAAGUUGAGACAUUAGUAAAGUUAAGAAAGAUUUUGGGAGUUAAAAGAAGGUUAGAAGAGCUAAAGGUGGAUAGUAAGAAAGCCUAAGUGGGAGACACUAUUGGACACUAUUCAAAGUUGACCUUGCAAACCCUUCUUGUGGCUUGUAUAUUACCUCCAAAAACAACAAAAAGACCUUCAUUUCUUCUCCUUGGGCUGUCAGAAACUUGAGAGAGGAAGAGAGGGAGAGAAAUUUUAUCCUUCUUGAAAAUUUUGAAGAUCCAAGCUUUCCUUCCACCAAUCCACUUGCACCUUUGGAAAAUCUUGAGAGAAAGAGGCUCCUAAGGGUUGAUCUUGGCAUCAUCUUGAGUUAAUCUUGCUAGGGUUUGAAGCUUUGAAGAGAUAAGUGACUAAUCUACUUCACUGUUUUGCUUUCAAGCAAUUGUGGAAUAUGAUUCUAGUAGACUUGUAACUUGAAAGAUUGAAUCUUUGAUGGGUUUCUUUGAAACCUUGAUUUAGGUAGAGGACUUGAGGAAAAAUUUCUUGGGUUUCCAUGGCAAGCUAGGUAGAGGACUUGACAUUCAUUCUUGUGCUUUUAUGAUGAAUGUUGUGAUAGGUUUUGGUACUUUAAAGCUUGAUAUUGUGGCUUGUGUGUAUACUUCUUGGAAAGCUUAAAUCUUGGUUGGAUUUUGUUGCAAAUUGUGGUGGAAAAAUUCUGUUUUGAAAGCUUCAUGCUGGCCGAAAUUUUUGAGUGUUGUUAGCCCUUAUUUUUCAAGAUAUUUUGGGGGAAAUCUUGCUCCACAAACUUUGUAGACAUUAAACUUUGAUUGCAAAUUGAUUUGAACCAAAAAUCAUGAGCUUAAGUGAGAAGGUUGAGUCAAGUGUUGCUGAAAAUUUUUUCCGCAGGAGACUCUGAGCAGUCUUGGGAAAUCUAUCGUAUCUUGGUGUAGAAAAAUCUAAAUUGAGUUCUACUUCUUGUGUUUGAAACUAGAUUUAGAGUGCUUUCUACCGUGAAAAUUUCAGAAUUUUUCUCAAUUCCUAUGAAUAUGUAUGAUUUUCCAAAAUUGACUAAAAUUUCACACCUGUUCUAUUUUUCUACCUGAUGAAGCAACAAAUUGAGACUGGAAUUUGACUGAUUUGUGGAUAGAAACUUACAAAUGUGUCUUCUGGAAAAAUGUAGUCCUUUGAAUCUAUUUUCCAAUGGUAUAAAUUUUAUAAAUUUUGGACUUCAGAAGCUUGAGAUAUAAUUUUUCAAAUAGCGUCACGCAAAACUAGAGAAAAUUCUGUUUUCCUAAACUUGUUCUUGCUCUCAUCUCCAACUUCAAGUUGGAGAUUGUUGAACCAUUUUGAGCUUGGUUUUAUAAUUGGAAUUGAGGUUUUCUCACAGCUUUAUGCCUUUGAGUGGAGUAGUGAUGGUUGAUUGUUUGAAACAGAGUUCCUCCCUAGCCCUUAGUCAUUAUUCGAAUAGCACGUGGCAUGAAAUCCUUAUUUGAUGGUGUUAAAGGUUUGGUAUAGGAUGGUAAGACUUAUGAAGAAGAAUUCUAGCUAUAAUUUGGUGCUUGGAUGGUGAAUUUGUGGCUUUUAGACCACUAUGCCUUGUUAAACCCUAGAUCACUACUUAUACAUGGGUUUUACUUAAAACUAGGGUGUUUAAAGAACGAGUGACUCUUCUUUUCGAGUCGCUUGUUGAAUGUUUUGACAAGAGUAAACAUUGUUAUACCACCUUACUAUAUCCUUGCCUUAUUUGAAACCUUAAUUUUGGCCCGUUUGAAUUGUAUUUUUGACUUUAGAGUCAAAAGUUUUCCCUUGUGGUUUGAUCAUGGAUAGGUGAUACUUUUUGACUAAAAACUUGCACUUGGGGGGUUCGACUACUUUAUUCAAAUAUUUUAAAACGGUGGACUUCUUUAGUUCGCUUACCUUCCCUUCAGAAAGUUAACUUUUCUAAACGCGAUGAGUGUUCUAAGUGCAUGUUGCACUUCAUACUUGCUUGACAUGCAUGUGCCCUGUGAAAUUGCCUGUUAUUGAACUGAUUGAUAUUUGACUUAGGUGAGCAUGUACUUUAUCUUGCUCAACCCCCCUUUCUUGCUUGUAUUUGUCCUGUUAGUCGUUUGGGCUGUUGUCCCUUUGACUCUUUAUUGUGAAUUGUUAUUCGAUGACUACUUGAUUGGUUGGUUGGGCUGUUGUCCCACCAACACGACUGCAUGUUGGGAAUUCCAAAACCCUAUUGGCUAGUUAAUCGAGUCGAACCGGCAAGGGCCUGACCGAUUAGAUAACGAAUCCGGAGUCUACUGUUUUGUUGAGUGAAAUGAUAUCUCCUCUGUCGUGCCCCAUUUUUUAUAAAAAUAAACAAAUGGUUUAAAAAGUGAAUUUUGAUUUAAUUUUUGGUUGGAAAAUGAAUUUUUGAUUUAAAACAGAAAAUAAAAAACGUGGGUCUAGAUGGGACAUGAAAAUACGACGAUUUGACCCAAAAUAUAGUUUAAAAAGGGUUUAUUGAAUGAAAAAUGGAGUCGCCACUUGGUAUAGAGUUAAGGUGUACCAAGUCACCUAAAAAUGAAAUUUUAAAGGAAAAAUGGAAAAACCCUUUUUAAUCGACUCCAAAUCUACGUAAAUCAAGAAAAAAGGUUCGGGAGUCACAUUUGAAAAAAGGGAAGGCAAGGGUAAAAAUUCGAGGCACCCUUUCGACCUAGCCAAGGCUAGUUGCGUGAUUUAGUCAAGAAUUUUCUUAUUUUAACCAAAAGAUUUAUCACAUUUGGACGUGCUAUAUGAAUGCAACCCUAGACCUAAGAGGGUAUCGGGGGGCAAAAUUUCUCUUCAAAGCUUGAAUGGUGCCAAUCACAUUAAUUGUAAUGCCCAAUAAUGACUCUUUGGAGAGGUCACGAAUAAUGCAAAGAUAUGAGACUCCAAGAAAAGAAAAAGAAAUAAAAUAAUUAUAAAAAUAUACAUGUCUUAAAGGAGUGCAUCAUGUCGGGUACGGGGGACUAAUGUUCGUGACUCAAUUUUCCCUUUAAUAGAGGGGGGUACGAGCGUGCUAAGGUUAGAAAGCCAAACUCGUCCAUAUCUCAUAUUCAAGGGAUUAUUCCCUAAUCUAAUCAAGCAAAUGAACUAACCUAGUUCUAAUGCUUAUAUGAAAUGCAAGUCUAAUGUCAUGUUUCCAUACAAAGGGGUAUAUAUAUAUAAGGGAAAUUAGGGAUAAGGGAUAUACGUAUAAGGGAAAUAUCAUACAAAAAUGAUAAAAGGCCCUAGAAAAUGAAAAAUAUGCAUGAGAUGAAGUGAUUUUAUCACACAAUCAUGAUCUAACGCGUGAAGGGGUCCUAAAGGUCUAGCGUUGGACUAGCCCGUGUUUCUACUUUCUCACUAGCGUUGGACUAGUGAGAAAUCGAACAAAAAAACCACAACUAGCGUUGGACUAGCGUGGUAUCGAGAAAUGGAUCACAACUAGCGUUGGACUAGUGUGAUAACACGUCACAUGUGAAUUAUAACUAAAUUAUGUAAAGCUUUAAUUAGAAGCAUGUAAACACAUAUACCACAUAAGCACAUAACACAUAAUCAUAAUAUCUAGAUGCAAGGCUCUAAGAAAGCGGUAACACAUAGCACGUAAGCAUGCAAAUCACACAAGCAACAAGAAAGGAAACCCUAUCUAUUACAUUAGGGGGGGCCCUACUACAAUCUAAAAGGGAAAAUAAAAUAAAAUAAAUAACUAAAAUAAAUACCUAACUAUUACAACUUGGCAUUUAAAUGCCUUUUAAAUAAUCAAAAAUGACCUAAAAAUAAAUAUACGAAAUUAAGACGAGUGAAGCGAAUCAAUAAAUAAAUAAAAUGAAAACAUUCACAAAGGACAUGCAAUUAACACAUAAAUCACAUAAGUACACAUAGGGUCAAAUAAAGUAAAAAUAAGGGAUAGAGUGUACCUCCCUUGAAUUGGUGUCCUAAUGAAAUGAAUUUUACUUAUUUACCCUCAAAAAACAAAGAAAAUGUCAAGGCAUCACUUUGAUUAACAAAUAAUCACGAGAAAUGGAGAUAAACAGGAAAUUGAAUCACUCAAGGCAUUCAAAUAAACUAAACAACUCAUAUCCAUCAAGUUGAAACCAACGAGGACCCAAUGGAAACAAUUAAAGAAGUUAAAGGGGCCCAUUUGAUUAUUAUCACAAACAUUAAGGGCCCAGGAAAUAAAUUAAGAUUAAGGACUUGAGGUGGAACCUACCAAACAAAUGAAAACCAAUUUGCUAGGAUUAAGCAACAAAAUUUUCAAAAUCUCACUAAAAAUUCGAAUCAAAACCAUAGAUCUAGAAAAGGUUAUUGAACCCUUCAAAUUCAUCCUAAAGCUCAUGCAUAUUCUAUCCAAAAAUUAUGUUAAAGCGUACCGAAGAAAAAUUGGAAUUUUCACAAGGAUAAGAUUGAUCAAAUUUCCAAUUAUUUGGGUCUUAUCAGAAUUAUGUAAAAUCAAUAGAACCAAGGUGCAAUUAUUGGAAACUAUUUCCAUGCAAAGAGACAUGCAAAUGCUUCAGGCAAGCCAAACGAACCAAGCUUUCUCUGUUUUCUGCAAUAUUCCAACCGUGGCUUCCUAUAUUUAAUCAUGCCAAAAGGCUCGCCAAUCAGCCGGAUUCCAGUUGUCAAAACUGACUCCAAUGCACAUGAACUUGUUACAGAAAUGCAGCCAAGCAUUCAGGAUAACCAUCAAGGGCGAAAAGAACUAAACAGCAAAAGAAAAAAAAAGAAAUGCAGCAAGAACUUUCUCUGCAAACUCUCAUUCGCAAGCUUCAUUCGCGAACCUUUGGCAAACAGAAUAUAUACAAAAUCUUCGAUCCAUCUCCAAUUAAAAAACAUUUAACACUCCAAAUAACAAAUGAAACUAGGAUCUUUGCCUAUAAAAAAAAUUCAGCGACCGAGCGUGCACUUGCUGCAACCUUAGCAGCCGCAACUCAUCGGAAGUUCACACGAAAACCUUUAUAGCUUCGACCCAAAAUAUACAACCUCAUCACUAAACACUUAGGCACAAGAUUUAACUAGCAAAGGGAUUCAAAAUUUGGUGGGUAGCUGCGGAGAAGACAGCAACGAAGAAAAUGCAGCAGCUUUUGCCCUGGUUGUCUACCUAUAGCUAUCGCAAACAAGAACAAAAAUGCAGCAAAGAAACUCAUCCGAAACAAAUGCUCAUGUCACUUUCACUUAGCCAAAGCAUAUUCCCAUGAAACGAAACAAACCUUAACACAUUAACCGAUUCAUUAACUGACCCAAAAAAAUAGAGAAAAGAAACAACCGAUCACCUAGACACGAGCAUAAACCCAGCUAAACUUCAUUUAGAGCCACAGUUGGAUUUUUCUCAAAAAACGAAUGCGAACAUCCUGCUACUGUAAUGAAUCUGCCAUGCUAUAGCUUAACAUAAAAUGCAGCCAAUGAACGCUACCAUUUAAUGGAACAUGCAACUAAACUCAAACCAUGAGACUGCUAAGCUAUUCAGAACACAACUCACCGCACACGAAUCAUACGCAUUCAGUUCAGGACAGGAAAAACCACACGAAAGUUAACAGCUUUUGGUUCACAAGUUUUCGGCCAUACAGAUUCCAAAACAUAGCUUUUAGUUCCUAGGUUUUUCACCAAACAACAAAAAAAACAGAUUUCCGAUGAACAUAAAACAGAAGUGACGAGAUACUAAGUAACGAAAACAGACAUCUGAAACAGAUUCAGGGAAUCCACGCUUAGAAGGCUUCAAAAAUCUGAACUUUUAAAAGGAAACUUGAAUUUAAAGGGAUAGGGUAGCUCACAAUGCUUUCUUUCAAGCCUUUUGCGGUGAGGGUUUGCAGGUGGUGGUGGGGGAUUCUGAUGGCAGCAGCGGCAUCAGCAACCCAUCACCGAGACCUUCGAUUCUUGGUGGUUCUUUACUUUGGUUUGGCUUGGACCGAAAUCCCUCAAGCUCUCUCCAGAACCUCUUGGUUUUUUCCCUCGGCUCUCUCACUCUUCUCUAUUGUUUUCUCCCCAACGCUUCAUCCCUCCGCUUCUCCCGUCACCGGAUGCUCCCUGUUUUCCUUCUUUAGCUCUCCAGCCGCCAAACUCCCCCCGCCGUUCCUCUUUUCUAAUUUCCUCACUCAACCCGUCGUCCCAACUCUCCUCUCACCCUAGUUCUCUUCUCUCCCUUUUUUCCCAGCCGUCCUCCGAUUUCUUUCAUCAGCCGUCCCUUCCCUUUUGUAGCCCAAAGAUCUUUUUAGCCCUAACAUCCGAUGGUUCCCCCCACUUGAUAUCUUUCUCCUGCUUUAUAAACCCUUGGAUUCCAGGUUAUUACAUUUCCAGUGUAUGUUUCUUGCUGCUGAUUCUAUAGUGAAUGACUCAAGAGUUGAGUAUGUGAUUUGCUGUGAAAAUACCUACAAGCUCUUAUCUCACCAAAAAAGGAAAUGAAAGAGAGGAGGAAGGUAGGUUUUGAGAGCGGAAAAAAUGGAGAAACAUGGAGGAGGUGAGUUGGCUGGAUGUAAUUUUUGAUUUCUUAUUCUAAGAGAAAGAAAGGAAGCAAGAGAGAUGAAGAAAGAUGGAAGAAAGG